rnacentral:rRNA from 1 species
GACGAACGCUGGCGGCGUGCCUAAUACAUGCAAGUAGAACGCACAGUUUAUACCGUAGCUUGCUACACCAUAGACUGUGAGUUGCGAACGGGUGAGUAACGCGUAGGUAACCUGCCUGGUAGCGGGGGAUAACUAUUGGAAACGAUAGCUAAUACCGCAUAAUAUUGAUUAUUGCAUGAUAAUUGAUUGAAAGAUGCUAUUGCAUCACUACCAGAUGGACCUGCGUUGUAUUAGCUAGUAGGUGAGGUAACGGCUCACCUAGGCGACGAUACAUAGCCGACCUGAGAGGGUGAUCGGCAACACUGGGACUGAGACACGGCCCAGACUCCUACGGGAGGCAGCAGUAGGGAAUCUUCGGCAAUGGACGAAAGUCUGACCGAGCAACGCCGCGUGAGUGAAGAAGGUUUUCGGAUCGUAAAGCUCUGUUGUAAGAGAAGAACGGGUGUGAGAGUGGAAAGUUCACACUGUGACGGUAUCUUACCAGAAAGGGACGGCUAACUACGUG